UGUUUCCUUAGCCCAGCUCCCAUCUCCCUACCCCUUUCCCUUCCCAUUAUUGGGGGCCGGGGAGCCCAAAGGCCAACUAGCCCCCUGUUAUGGACAUAGAUUGAUCCAGAUAACUCCAUGACGAGGGUGAGCAGUGAUAGGACAAGGGGGAAUGGUUUUUAAACUGAGACGGGGAGGUUUAGGAUGCAUCUUAGGAGGAAGUUUUUCCCCCAGAGGGUGGUGACGCACUGGAACAGGUUGCCCAAGGAAGCUGUGGAUGCCCAUCCCUGCAGGCAUUCAAGGCCAGGCUGGAUGUGGCUCUGGGCUGCCUGGGCUGCUGGUUGGCGACCCUGCACACAGCAGGGGGUUGGAACUGGAUGAUCAUUGUGGUCCUUUUCAACCCAGGCCAUUCUAUGAGUCUGUGACUCUCACAGCCCCCACCAGAAGCACACGGCCUGUCCGUGCCCAGGACGGGAGCAGCUGUGCAAUGGCACAGACAUCUUUACCAGGGCAUCCAAAGGAGCUCCGAGCGCAGGGUAUUCCAGCCUUGGGCUGGGGGCAAACCCACAGGGUCUGUCCCUCCUGGGCACACCCUGUGAGCUCAUAGAAGGCGUCACUUGGCCUUGGCAGCUGUCAGCCAUUAUGACAUCAGAACCUGCCGUCCUGCUGAGGCACGCUGCAGAGCUGUGCAGCACUGCAGUCCUGUGAGGAGUGCAGAGCAGGCGAGUGGAGAAGAGGUGCUUGUGUCCUGGGAGGAGAGCAAGCCAUUCUCUGUGUCUGUGCGAGUGAAGGAGCCAAAAUGCCAGCCCAGCUGGGCAGGCAAUGCGUCGGCCAAGAGGGGGGAAGGAGGACUCCCAUCCUGCCUCUAGUGGUCCUUUCUGCUGGAGCCAUCCUCUGGAUAUUGGGAGUUUGGAGAGAGAACGCCCUGCAGGUCAGUGCUACGCUGUGCGGCAGAGGCCAAAGCUCUGCCCUUCUGCCUCUGUGGGGACAGUUUGGCCAUGGGCUCAUCACUGCUGAGACGGAGCCGGGCUGGGGGUUGCCUUGGCAGCAGGACAGGUUUUGGUGUGGCAGCAUCUUCCCAGUGCCCAGCACGGAGCUGAAGGCAACAGCGCGUGGGAAGAAGGAGCCUUUGGCCCAUCCGUGGGACUGGGGAGUCUGGAGGGGAUGGGAAAGCAAACGGAGAAGCAGCAGAUGCUCUGACACCCCAUAGAGCCCUAUAGAGCCCCCACAGACACCCUGUAGAGCCCCAUAAUGCUCUGUAAGACCCCAUAGAGCUGCACAAGAGCUCAUAGAGAACCAAAGAGCCUCAUGGUGCCCACAGGCUGUGGUCCUCUGCAAAGUGCUGGGAAGCAGCAGGAAAUUCUGCCAGCGGCUCCCUGGGAAGCUCCUUUGGAAGCUCUGGCCGUGCUCCUGGUGCUUCCUCCCAUCAAAUGCUUUUCUCUUCCAGGUGGUGUCAGCAGGACCUGUGCAUGAGCUCCUGUCUCUGGGGUAAGAACACUUCCUUGCCAUGCACCUGGCUCUGUAGCUUGGCCUCGGCUGGCUGUGUGCUCCAUGCACGCCUUCACCUUGUGCCAGGGCUCCAGCUUUCCCAUCUAUAUGGUGAAGGCAGCCCUUGGCAAAGCAAAGGAACAAAAGGGGCCGGGGGAUAAGGAAGGGCACAACCCCCGGAUAUCCUUCACUCUCGUGCGCACUGGAAUUGCGCUGAGGGGAUGAAAUGCUGAACAAGGACUUGCUUUGCCUUUGCCUUCAGGAAUCAAUUGGC
ensembl:lncRNA